rnacentral:rRNA from 1 species
GUGCCAGCCGCCGCGGUAAUACGAGGGGGGCGAGCGUUGUUCGGAAUUAUUGGGCGUAAAGGGUGCGUAGGCGGUUUGGUAAGUCUUGUGUGAAAUCUCCAGGCUCAACUUGGAGUCUGCACGAGAAACUGCCGGGCUUGAGUGUGGGAGAGGUGAGUGGAAUUCCUGGUGUAGCGGUGAAAUGCGUAGAUAUCAGGAGGAACACCUGUGGCGAAAGCGGCUCACUGGACCACAACUGACGCUGAUGCACGAAAGCUAGGGGAGCAAACAGGAUUAGAAACCCCUGUAGUCC